UACUCCUACGGGAGGCAGCAGUAGGGAAUCUUCGGCAAUGGACGGAAGUCUGACCGAGCAACGCCGCGUGAGUGAAGAAGGUUUUCGGAUCGUAAAGCUCUGUUGUAAGAGAAGAACGAGUGUGAGAGUGGAAAGUUCACACUGUGACGGUAACUUACCAGAAAGGGACGGCUAACUACGUGCCAGCAGCCGCGGUAAUACGUAGGUCCCGAGCGUUAUCCGGAUUUAUUGGGCGUAAAGCGAGCGCAGGCGGUUAGAUAAGUCUGAAGUUAAAGGCUGUGGCUUAACCAUAGUACGCUUUGGAAACUGUUUAACUUGAGUGCAGAAGGGGAGAGUGGAAUUCCAUGUGUAGCGGUGAAAUGCGUAGAUAUAUGGAGGAACACCGGUGGCGAAAGCGGCUCUCUGGUCUGUAACUGACGCUGAGGCUCGAAAGCGUGGGGAGCAAACAGGAUUAGAUACCCUGGUAGUCCACGCCGUAAACGAUGAGUGCUAGGUGUUGGGUCCUUUCCGGGACUCAGUGCCGCAGCUAACGCAUUAAGCACUCCGCCUGGGGAGUACGACCGCAAGGUUGAAACUCAAAGGAAUUGACGGA
rnacentral:rRNA from 1 species